rnacentral:lncRNA from 1 species
GAGAACGGAGUUAGACACAAAAGUAAGAUCACAUGAACUCCGACUUCGGAUGGAACACAUCAUCCAUUUAAACCCUCGAGCCGAGCUCAACUGGAAACUCCACCUAAGCUGGAAGAGACUUGAGCUUGCAAGUGAAAUAAGCCAGAGAAUUUUGAAGAUAUAAAAAGGCGCAUCUCAAUUCCGUGUGGCGGGCAAAAAAUAAAGGAGCAGAUUGUGACAGACCAUUCCCAUCGGCCAUGCGGGCGAACCCAACGUCCUUUUACAUUGAAGAACCCAACGGGGCCUUUUACAUUGCGGAUGAUGGACCGGCUCGUGACGUCCAUGAAUUUCACGCGCACCUGUGUGCACUGUCCCUGAGAGCCGGUCCUGCCCAGGACCUUGGUGACCCUGGCCAGCUUGAUAGGCUGCACACGGCUGGUGUUCAUGAUGGCGGCGCAGCGACGAUGUGGCGGAGAGGACAGAGCAUCCCACUCUGACCUCCCUGCAGAACAAGGAGGCCGUGGCUGUUUGAAAUUGCCGUGAACCCUCAGGGGCAGCUCCAAUGCCUUUGACUUUCAGACCCCUCACCUGGAAGCCAUCUCUGCUUCACCAGAACUUACUUUACUCCCAAUUUCUACCUGGGAUUACUGCCUGUGUGUCUUGUUUUCCUUACAGUCUAAAGUGCUUAGCAUAUGGGAAAGAACCCAAUAAAUGAUAAUUACUA